CAGUAUACAAAAUCAAUAGAGAGCAAUCUGUUGCAUUUCUAUACACUAAUAAUGAAGCAGCAGAAAGAGAAAUCAAGAAUACAAUCUCAUUUACAAGAGUAUCAAAAACAGUAAAUACCUAGGAAUAAGCUUAACCAAAUAGGUGAAAGACU